UAUGUUAGCUCUUUCUUCUUUUUCAUUGCUUAAUUUCAUUGGUUUAGGUUUCUCCUUCAACACAUGGAACACACUCUCAAGUGCUUUGUUCACCACCAUCUAACUUACCAUCUCCUCAAGCAUUCAAAGGGAUGAGAGAAGAUGAGGUGGGGAAAGCAUCAGGUGUCCUGAAGAGUGGGGUGCGUUGUUUAGCUCUCUUUAAGGAGAAUGAUGAGGAGAGGGACAUGCUUAAUCUCUUCUUCCAGAUACUGUGUAUUAUUGGAACCUCGAGAUCUUAUGGACAUGUUCUCAUUGUGCAUGCCUGAACUUUUUGAAUGCAUGAUUAGCAAUACUCAACUAGUUCACAUAUUGUCUUUGCUCUUGCAAUCUUUGAAAGUAUAUCGGCCAUUUGCAGAUGCCUUGGUUAA